rnacentral:rRNA from 1 species
UACGUAGGGGGCAAUCGUUGUCCGGAUUUAUUGGGCGUAAAGAGCGUGUAGGCGGCUUUACAGGUCCGUUGUGAAAACUCGAGGCUCAACCUCGAGACGCCGGUGGAAACCGUAAGGCUAGAGUCCGGAAGAGGAGAGUGGAAUUCCUGGUGUAGCGGUGAAAUGCGCAGAUAUCAGGAGGAACACCCGUGGCGAAAGCGGCUCUCUGGGACGGUACUGACGCUGAGACGCGAAAGCGUGGGGAGCAAACAGG